UACGUAGGGUGCGAGCGUUGUCCGGAAUUACUGGGCGUAAAGAGCUCGUAGGUGGCUUGUCGCGUUGUUCGUGAAAUCUCACGGCUUAACUGUGAGCGUGCGGGCGAUACGGGCAGACUAGAGUACUGCAGGGGAGACUGGAAUUCCUGGUGUAGCGGUGGAAUGCGCAGAUAUCAGGAGGAACACCGGUGGCGAAGGCGGGUCUCUGGGCAGUAACUGACGCUGAGGAGCAAAAGCGUGGGGAGCGAACAGG
rnacentral:rRNA from 1 species